GGGAGGGGCCCUGGCUCCUUCGCACCUGGAGUGGCCCCUUAACUCCGAAGCUGGAACUAGUGAGAGAGACUGUGAGCAGGUGACCAGGCUUGCUGGGUCUUCGGUGGAGGCCAUUCCCUUAAGGGGCGGAACUCCAACCGAAGCAAAAAGGACUGUGGUCUGACACCGGUUGGGUCCCCAGCCAGAGGACUCUAACAGCGGGAAGAUGAAAGAGACUCCACCUGGACAGAUGCCCCCCAUCCCGGGGCCUGAGCCUCACAGGUUUAAAGAGAUUUAAACGUGGCACUGAAAUCAUCUGAUUUACACCUGCCUGCUCUGUAGGGGCGGAUGACCACCAGGUAAGAGCGGAUUCAGAGGGGCCUGGUAGGAGGCGGUGGUAUAACCCAGGCUAGGGAUGCUGAGGCUUGAACAAGGCUGGUGGCCAUGCAGAUUGUGUGAAGCAGGCCUGCUGGGGACCUGUUCUGGAGGUGAAAGUGGCAGGACUUUCUGAAGGAUCAGAUGUGAUGGGUGAGAGAGGCGAGGAAUUGAGGAGGACUUCCAGGUUUCUAGCCUGGUGGGUUGAAGAUGGCCGCAAAAUCUCAGCUGCUUAAAAAAAACUCUGGUGUUCGCCUUCUCGGAGUUCAGGCAGGCUCAGGGACAGCUUGGCCGAUGAGACCUACAGUGGCCUAUGCUGGUUUCCAGCUCAGACUGGAAAAGCAGGAGGUGGACAGAGCCUGGGACACUCCUCUGUCAGAAGUUCGGCUGAGAGGAGGGAACAGUACAGUAGACUGAGCAGUCUGGGAGGAAGAAGGGGGACCAGGUGAGAGAAGGGCCAGGAAGCCAAGAGAAGAGAGUGUUUUAAGAAAGAGGGGUAGUUGCCUGUGUGGAAUGCUGCCCAGAGGUUGAGUAAGCCGAGGACAGAGAUGUGUCCACUAGAUUUGGCAGCAAGGACAUCAGGGCAACCUUGAUGGUGUAGUCUUAGUGGAAGAAUGAGGACGGAAGCUGACUGGUAUGGGUGGAACAGCAAAUAGGAGCCAAUGAACGAGAGAGAACAACCAUUGGCAACUUUUUAGAAAGUCUUAAUGCAAAGGGAAGCAGAGAGAUGGUGCUUUAGCUAGAAGGAAAUAGGGUCAAGGGAGAGUUUUGUCCAAAUAUGAAGAAUAUAAUAACAUGUCCCCGUGCUGAUGGCCAGGAAUUGGGGAGGAACUGACGGUACAGAGAGAGAGGAGAUUACCCAGGAUCAAAGUUCUUGACAAAGUAAGAGGGAGGGGACCCAGAGCACAGGAGGACAGAGCUGGCCUUUGAUAGGGGCAGGGAUAGUUGUCUGGGAGGCAGAGGAAGAGGAGGUGGAUUUGUAGAACUAGCCAUGCAAAGCUCAGGGAAACUCCUCGGAUGGUUUCUCGUAUUUUCCUAUGGACUGGAAGCAAGUUACAGCCAAAGCGAGACAGGAAAAGAGGAGGGGAGGCAGAACCCAGGAUUAGAUAUGAAAUAGUUAUCACAACCAAGCCCACUAGAGAAACAGAGUAGGAUUUCCGGCAGUGCAGAGCGACCAUUCGAAGUUGCUGACCGUGAAUUUGUAACGACCCUGGCCUGCCAGGCUAUUUGAUAGUGUGUUUUCUGCCCCACAAUGGCGUGUGCCAAGCAUGGGCCUUUCCCAGGUAAUCCAAUUAUCUCCAUUGACAGCUGAGCCAGUCAAGACUUAGAAAGACUUCCUGGCUUGCCCAAGGUCGCACAGCUGGUAGGGGCAGAGCAGGACCUUGGGCCCAACCCCUGAACGCCUCUGCAGAGGCCAAAGCUGUCCAAGGUCUAAGUAGACUAUCAUACUUGGUAGCGUUCGUGGUCGCCCGUUGUGGAUGCAAGCGAGGAAACGCAGAAAAGAGAAACACAGCUUUCCCUUUCCUGUAAUAGUUCUGUAUGUUGGUGCUUGGGGCCAGUUGUGUACAAAGGGCCCUGAGGGCUGCUUCUCUGUAAAGCGUAUUUGCUGAAUAACCACACCAUUUCUCCAUCUCUAGCAAUAGCUAAAUUGCUAGCUUCUUUCAACCCUGGUCCAGGAGUGCUGAGACAUUUGGGGUUAACGGCUCCUCCCCAUCUCUUAACUAUCUGCCCUUCUUCGAUUCAGUGUUACUUUCACUUAGAGAGCUCUCCCAGGAACGCUACGCUUGGUGUUAUCACCAGCAAACAUCUUAGAAAGCUGGUCUUCCGAUGCCUGUUUACAGAAAUAUUUCCACACCUUGCUUGUGUUUCCAGGAAUUCCUCAUCUUCCUGGCCAGGAAUAUUAAUAGACAGGUCUUGAAAAGUGCAAGAGGCUUUUUCUGUGGCUGCAAGCACAUUGAACACUUUUUCCUUUUAACCCCUAAGCAGUAAGUAAUGAAGUCCCAAAGGUUGGGUAAAAACCAAUCUGAUAGAAAGAGUCACUUUUAAAAACUACAUCCUCAGGGGGAAAAACUGUGAUGUGACCUUAGUGGUUCUAAUGGGUUAAAUGGAGCCCCCACCCCCACCCCCAUCAUAUCCAAGUCCUGACCUAAGACCUAGACCUGUGACUAUGACCUUAUUUGGAAAAAGAGUCUUUGCAGAGAAAUUAAGGAUCUUGAGAUGAGGUCAUCCUGGAUAUAGGGGAGUGAGGGUGGGGUGCUAAAUCCACUGACAAGUGUCCUUAUAAGAGACACACAGAUGCAUUGGAGGUGGCAGUGUGACCAAGGAUGCAAAGAUUAGAGUGAUGUGGCCACAAGUCCACAAGUCAAGGAACACCUGAAGCACCAGAAGCUGGAGUAGACAAGAAGCAGUCUCCCCUAGAGCCUCCAGAGACAGAAUGACACCUUGAUUUUGAACUUCUGGCCUCCAGAACUGUGAGAAAAUACAUUUCCAUUUUAAGCAGCCAAAUUUGUGGCAUUUGUUACAGCAGCCAUAGGAAGCUAACGCAGUGGUCCCCCUUUUCUAGACUCUGGGAGGCCUGAGAUCUGUGUGUCAAUCAGUGUGCCAAGUUCAAGGCUGUAUGCGGAUGGAGCCAGCACCAAGCAGCUUGUGUUGGCAGAAGCAGAACAAACUGGCUCAGACAAAUCGACUUAUCACAAAAUGGUUCAAGCUCUCAUCGGCAGUGACAGAACAUACAUUAAGGAUCAGAGCACAGACUCAGUGGCCGGAUGGAGUAGGUUCAAAUCCUGGCUCCACCUCUCAGUGACUCGCAAGUUUCUUAUACUCUCUGGGCCUCAGUUUCUCCACAGGUUCCAAUGAGGACACCGAUAACAGCCCCACCUGAGGGGUGAUUGUCAGACUUGAUCAAUGUAAAGCCCCUGGACUUGACCAUGCUGACAUAUCACAAGUGCGAGAUGAGUGUCUGCUAUUAUUACAAUAACCCAAAUCAAAACAGGCACAAAUGAGCUCAGAAUAAUCGAAGAGAUGUAAAUAUGCUAAUGGACAGGAGGGCAGGGGGCAGGGCACAACCAUGAAAGGAAUGACACAGCAAUUGAAGAUUCAACUCCGGGGAGACCUUGAGGCCCAAGAUGGCGGGAGAUUUGACUCCCAGUAGACCUUGAGCUUCACUGAAAGCUCACUGUAAUACAUUGGCAUGAGAAAUGACACUCCACAGGCACCGUGACCGGUCUGAGGCUGGCCAUAAAAGGUCAAAAAGUGGGCAGUGGCCCAAUUCUUGGGCGUCCCUGCCCCUUCCCCAAAGUAGUUAGACUGAUCCUCCCACUUGUUAGCAUAUGAAGUUUCUAAGCCCAUGAAAACUAGCAACACUGCACCUUGUGGUCGCUCUCUCUUGCCUUCUGAGACGACCGGCAUGCUAUGGAGUGUGCAUCUCUCUGA